rnacentral:rRNA from 1 species
ACCGCGGUUAUACGAGAGGCCCAAGUUGACAGACACUCGGCGUAAAGAGUGGUUAGACUCAUAAAUCCACUAAAGCCGAACGCCUUUUUAACUGUUAUACGUUCUUGAAGGCAAGAAGCCCCUCUACGAAAGUAGCUUUACUAACAUUGACCCCACGAAAGCUGUGAA